rnacentral:rRNA from 1 species
GACGUAGGGCGCGAGCGUUGUCCGGAUUUAUUGGGCGUAAAGAGCUCGUAGGCGGCUUGUUGCGUCGACUGUGAAAACCCGCGGCUUAACCGCGGGCCUGCAGUUGAUACGGGCAGGCUAGAGUUCGGUAGGGGAGACUGGAAUUCCUGGUGUAGCGGUGAAAUGCGCAGAUAUCAGGAGGAACACCGGUGGUGUAGACGGCUUUCUGGACCGUAACUGACGCUGAAACACGAAAGCGUGGGGAGCGAACAGG